GCUAUUUCUUUUUUAUUUUUUCUUAAUUUAGUCAAUCUAUCAUGAAAAGUAAAAAGGGGUAAAGUAACUUUGUGUUGAUUUUUUUCUAAAUGUAAGUUUUCUUCUUCUGCAUGUAGAAAAGGAAUAAAAAAAUCAAUCAAAUUCCGGGAGGCUUCGUGAAGUGCUUCUUUAGGAGUUAAACUUCCAUUUGUCCAUAUUUCGAGAAAAAGUAUCUCUUGCUUUUCAUUCCCAUUUCCAUAAGAAUGAACACUAUGAUUCGCAUUUCGAACAGGCAUGAAUACAGCAUCUAUAGAAUAACUUCCGUCUUGAACUUGAAAGUUAUUUGUUGGGUUUAUACGAUAGCCGCGAUUCCUCUCGAU
rnacentral:misc_RNA from 1 species